rnacentral:rRNA from 1 species
GACGAACGCUGGCGGCGUGCUUAACACAUGCAAGUCGAACGGAAAGGCCCUGCUUUUGUGGGGUGCUCGAGUGGCGAACGGGUGAGUAACACGUGAGUAACCUGCCCUUGACUUUGGGAUAACUUCAGGAAACUGGGGCUAAUACCGGAUAGGAGCUCCUGCUGCAUGGUGGGGGUUGGAAAGUUUCGGCGGUUGGGGAUGGACUCGCGGCUUAUCAGCUUGUUGGUGGGGUAGUGGCUUACCAAGGCUUUGACGGGUAGCCGGCCUGAGAGGGUGACCGGCCACAUUGGGACUGAGAUAGGGCCCAGACUCCUACGGGAGGCAGCAGUGGGGAAUAUUGCACAAUGGGCGGAAGCCUGAUGCAGCAACGCCGCGUGCGGGAUGACGGCCUUCGGGUUGUAAACCGAUUUCGCCUGUGACGAAGCGUGAGUGACGGUAAUGGGUAAAGAAGCACCGGCUAACUACGUG